GACGAAUAUUCUGUUUGGUUUUGUUUUUUAUUGUUAAUUGUGCAGCGAAAUUGUGAUAGUAAAUUAAAUAUAAAGUUGUGUAUAGCCUACAGAACUGAAUUAUCCCAUAGUAAUUAUCAGUUUGUGUCAAUUUGUUUGUGUGUAAAAAAGAAAAAACACCUUUCCUUGUGUUUGACCGACUUGUAGCAAGGGCUUUCUUGAGAAGCCUGUAAAUUGCGGGAAUAGGACAGACAGGGAUAAAAUCCUCACUUUUUACUGUUCCCAAGGCUAUACAUUUCCCCCAUGCAAUACAUUUAAAUGAAUUUUAUCCAAACAAAGGCAGGAACAUUGGAUAAAAGCAAUAAAGAGAACAGACCACAAAUUAAAAUAUGAGAGUAUGUAGUAAACAUUUUAUAAGUGGAAUAAACACCAGCUAUUUUAAAUGUAGGAAAAGGAGAAACUGCUGGAAUCUAAUUUUACACAAAUGUUUUUGACUAUUGAAGAUUUGGAUAAACAACAGAAGUUACUUUGGGCUAUAGCUAUGUGCAGAUUUAUUUCCUUGUGGAUUACUAUGUUUAUUCUUUUUAACUAUACUUCCUAUAUUGUUUGUGAGAUUAAUAUUAUUAUUUAAUUGAUUAUAUUAAUAUUUUGUAAUAAUAAUCAAUGCUUUGGUUUAACAAAUAGACAACUUAGAAUAGAAAAA
rnacentral:lncRNA from 1 species